rnacentral:rRNA from 1 species
GUAGGUGGCAAGCGUUGUCCGGAAUUAUUGGGCGUAAAGCGCGCGCAGGUGGUUCUUUAAGUCUGAUGUGAAAGCCCCCGGCUCAACCGGGGAGGGUCAUUGGAAACUGGGGAACUUGAGUGCAGGAGAGGAAAGUGGAAUUCCACGUGUAGCGGUGAAAUGCGUAGAUAUGUGGAGGAACACCAGUGGCGAAGGCGACUUUCUGGCCUGUAACUGACACUGAGGCGCGAAAGCGUGGGGAGCAAACAGGGAUUAGAUACCCUGGUAGUCCACGCCGUAAACGAUGAGUGCUAAGUGUUGGGGGGGUUUCCCGCCCCUCAGUGCUGCAGCUACGCAUUAAGCACUCCGCCUGGGGAGUACGGUCGCAAGACUG